GAUGCCCCUAGAAGCCUUGAAGGUAUGGGUUCUGUCUCACAUGUGUGUCAUUACAUUAGGUGGUAGAGAGGAGAGAAGCUAUGUCUACUUAUAAUGCUCUGACCUAUGACUAUCUGAGGAAUUAGUAGCAUAACAUU